AGAGUUUGAUCAUGGCUCAGAACGAACGCUGGCGGCGUGCCUAACACAUGCAAGUCGAACGCGAAAAGCAGUAAUGCUGAGUAGAGUGGCGCACGGGUGAGUAACACGUAACUGACAUGUCCUCGAGACAAGGAUAACCGUUCGAAAGGAUGGCUAAUACUUGGUAAGCCCCCGGGUUUGGACCUGAGGGAAAAGGGUCGGGAUCCUUAGGGACCGAUCGCUUGAGGAGUGGGUUGCGGCCCAUCAGGUAGUUGGCGGGGUAACGGCCCACCAAGCCUAAGACGGGUAGCUGGUCUGAGAGGAUGAUCAGCCACACUGGAACUGAGACACGGUCCAGACUCCUACGGGAGGCAGCAGUGGGGAAUCUUGCGCAAUGGGAGAAAUCCUGACGCAGCAACGCCGCGUGGGUGAUGAAGGUCUUCGGAUCGUAAAGCCCUGUCGGAGGGGAAGAUGCUUUCUGUCGCUAAUAUCGGCAGGAGGUGACGGUACCCUCAAAGGAAGCACCGGCUAACUCUGUGCCAGCAGCCGCGGUA
rnacentral:rRNA from 1 species